ACCUCGGGAAACUGAGGAUAAUGUUCCAUAGUUGAAUCGGCUUGGAAAAGUUUUUCAAUAAAAGGGAUAAGGAAAAUGGUUCUUAUCUGCUAUAGGAUAGGAUCGUGCUCGAUUAUGGUUGUUGGUGAGGUAAAGGCUCACCAAGCCGAUAAUCGAUAGGGGCCGUGAGAGCGGGAGCCCCGAGACGGGUACUGAGACAACGACCCAGGCCUUACGAGGCGCAGCAGGCGCGAAACCUCCGCAAUACACGAAAGUGUGACGGGGUUACCCAAAGUGUUCUAUUUAGAACUGUGGUAGGUGAGUAAUGUCCCCUACUAGAAAGGAGAGGGCAAGGCUGGUGCCAGCCGCCGCGGUAAAACCAGCUCUUCAAGUGGUCGGGAUAAUUAUUGGGCUUAAAGUGUCCGUAGCCGGUUUAGUAAGUUCCUGGUAAAAUCGGGUAGCUUAACUAUCUAUAUGCUAGGAAUACUGCUAUACUAGAGGGCGGGAGAGGUCUGAGGUACUACAGGGGUAGGGGUGAAAUCUUAUAAUCCUUGUAGGACCACCAGUGGCGAAGGCGUCAGACUGGAACGCGCCUGACGGUGAGGGACGAAAGCCAGGGGAGCGAACCGGAUUAGAUACCCGGGUAGUCCUGGCCGUAAACGAUGCAUACUAGGUGAUGGCACGGCCAUGAGCCGUGUCAGUGCCGUAGGGAAACCGUUAAGUGUGCCGCCUGGGAAGUACGGUCGCAAGGCUAAAACUUAAAGGAAUUGGCGGGGGAGCACCACAAGGGGUGAAGCCUGCGGUUCAAUUGGAGUCAACGCCGG
rnacentral:rRNA from 1 species